CCUACGGGAGGCAGCAGUGAGGAAUAUUGGUCAAUGGGCGGGAGCCUGAACCAGCCAAGUCGCGUGAGGGAAGACGGUCCUACGGAUUAUAAACCUCUUUUGCCGGGGAGCAACGGGGUCCUUGCGAGGGACCGAGGAGAGUACACGGAGAAAAAGCAUCGGCUAACUCCGUGCCAGCAGCCGCGGUAAUACGGAGGAUGCGAGCGUUAUCCGGAUUUAUGGGGUUUAAAGGGUGCGUAGGCGGGCUGUUAAGUCAGCGGUCAAAUGUCGGGGCUCAACCCCGGCCUGCCGUUGAAACUGGCGGCGUCGAGUGGGCGAGAAGUAUGCGGAAUGCGUGGUGUAGCGGUGAAAUGCAUAGAUAUCACGCAGAACUCCGAUUGCGAAGGCAGCAUACCGGCGCCCUACUGACGCUGAGGCACGAAAGCGUGGGUAUCGAACAGGAUUAGAUACCCCAGUAGUC
rnacentral:rRNA from 1 species